UCCAGCUGGCAGAGGACAGGAGCAGAGCGGCCGAGCACCUGCGCCGGGCGCUGCGCUUCCUGGAUAGCACACAGGAGCCCCUGCGAGCGGCGGCCGUCAGGAUCAUCGGCAUGGCCGGGAUGGUCACGAUGGGCUGGAAGGAAGAGCUCCAGCUCCUCAAUGAGGCCCUUCAAGGCCUGAGAAGAGAUGACAGCCCUUCCCAAAUGAACAUAGUCGUUCAGCAGAGAAUCAUUGAGAGAUCUGCAGAACUACGUAUAUCUGGUGGCUCAGAAGAACCAUUGCUCCUAAAAGUCC